GGGGUUGUGGCUCAGCAGUAGAGCACUUGCCUAGCACGUGCAAGGGGCUGAGUUCAAUCCUCAGCACCA
rnacentral:tRNA from 1 species